CCCUUCCUACGGGGCGCAGCAGUGGGGAAUAUUGCACAAUGGGGGAAACCCUGAUGCAGCGACGCCGCGUGAGAGAUGAAGUAUUUCGGUAUGUAAAGCUCUAUCAGCAGGGAAGAAGAUGACGGUACCUGACUAAGAAGCCCCGGCUAACUACGUGCCAGCAGCCGCGGUAAUACGUAGGAGGCAAGCGUUAUCCGGAUUUACUGGGUGUAAAGGGAGCGUAGACGGCGAUGCAAGCCAGAUGUGAAAGACCGGGGCUCAACCCCGGGACUGCAUUUGGAACUGUGUGGCUGGAGUGACGGAGG
rnacentral:rRNA from 1 species